rnacentral:lncRNA from 1 species
CAGACUCUGCUUGCUGCCGCACUACGCUGAUAAGCGCGGCCAUCUGCUCCCUAAGCUCUCCGUCGCCACUCGCUCCGGAUCGCUCGGGCGCCGCAUUCGACUCCUCCGGCAUCGACCUGUCUGCGGUCGACCACGAGGUGCCAUUGCUCCUGAAAAAAAGCAACUCGCAUUAGCUACAUGACCAACAUUACUUGACCAUACCCAAUUUGGCGAAAGCAACUUAUGCAUUCGUUCUUGCCCCAAGCAUUAUGUCGUCGGCUGCCCGACACAACACUAGAAGUAAAGGACGAACGAAAAUUAAACUUAGCCUCUAAUCACAUUAGAGACGUCCCAACUUAACCCAAUCACAUGCUUUCGCUAACUUUGAUUCUACGUCACUCACGUUUUCUAGAUCCUUAAGGUCUUCCAAUCCUAAAGGUCUCUAGGUCCAUUCCUGUUCUUUCAC